UGGAGCAUGUGGUUAAUUCGAUGCAACGCGAAGAACCUUACCUACUCUUGACAUCCAGAGAACUUUCCAGAGAUGGAUUGGUGCCUUCGGGAACUCUGAGACAGGUGCUGCAUGGCUGUCGUCAGCUCGUGUUGUGAAAUGUUGGGUUAAGUCCCGCAACGAGCGCAACCCUUAUCCUUUGUUGCCAGCGGUCCGGCCGGGAACUCAAAGGAGACUGCCAGUGAUAAACUGGAGGAAGGUGGGAUGACGUCAAGUCAUCAUGGCCCUUACGAGUAGGGCUACACACGUGCUACAAUGGCGCAUACAAAGAGAAGCGAACUCGCGAGAGCAAGCGGACCUCAUAAAGUGCGUCGUAGUCCGGAUUGGAGUCUGCAACUCGACUCCAUGAAGUCGGAAUCGCUAGUAAUCGUAGAUCAGAAUGCUACGUCGAUACGUUCCGGCCUU
rnacentral:rRNA from 1 species